rnacentral:rRNA from 1 species
UACAGAGGGGGCAAGCGUUAUUCGGAAUUAUUGGGCGUAAAGGGCGCGUAGGCGGGUGCUUAAGUCCGGGGUGAAAUCCUCCAGCUCAACUGGAGAACUGCCUCGGAUACUGGGUGUCUCGAGUGUGGUAGGGGUAUGCGGAACUAUCGGUGGAGCGGUGAAAUGCGUAGAUAUCGGAAGGAACACCAGUGGCGAAGGCGGCUACCUGGACUGACACUGACGCUGAGGCGCGAGAGCGUGGGGAGCAAACAGG